UCAGGCGAAGUGAGCCCAGAGAAGCUAAACUCUGUUAAGAACAGUGACAAGAUGGGUUCAUUCAGAGAAACAAAACAGUGCUCUCGAACUGGAAAUGCAGGACUGAUACUGGUCCCCUGCUGGAUGUCAGUGUUCACCCUGACCGCUGCAGUCUGUCUACUGAGGCUCUAGAUGGACAGAACAAUAAUGUCACAACACUGCCUUCACUUCAGUCCUUUCACAAACAUGUACAGCUCAACUCAAUACUGGAACUAACUCUUUUAAAUAAUCUCUUUUUGCCAUUUCACACCUUUAUUCUUGACAGAAACUAAUGUGAUCGCAUUUCACAGAUGUUUCUGCUCUGUUCUUGGUGGAGUUUCGGUGGGAUUAAUGAAUGUGUAUUUGUUGUAAAUUCCUGAAAAAGCUAACUUAAUACUGUAUUAUACUCUUUCUCUGUAACUCUGAUUUCUGUUUGGUGUAUAUUUUGAAUGACGCAAUCAGUGUGAAUACAAAACAGCUCUCCUUUUUAA
ensembl:processed_transcript